rnacentral:rRNA from 1 species
CCUACGGGUGGCAGCAGUGGGGAAUAUUGCACAAUGGGGGAAACCCUGAUGCAGCGACGCCGCGUGAGUGAAGAAGUAUUUCGGUAUGUAAAGCUCUAUCAGCAGGGAAGAAGAAAGACGGUACCUGACUAAGAAGCCCCGGCUAACUACGUGCCAGCAGCCGCGGUAAUACGUAGGGGGCAAGCGUUAUCCGGAUUUACUGGGUGUAAAGGGAGCGUAGACGGCUGUGCAAGUCUGAAGUGAAAGCCCAGGGCUCAACCCUGGGACUGCUUUGGAAACUGUGGAGCUAGAGUGCUGGAGAGGUAAGUGGAAUUCCUAGUGUAGCGGUGAAAUGCGUAGAUAUUAGGAGGAACACCAGUGGCGAAGGCGGCAUACCGGCGCUCAACUGACGCUCAUGCACGAAAGUGUGGGUAUCGAACAGGAUUAGAUACCCUAGUAGUC